UACGGGGGGGAGCAAGCGUUGUUCGGAUUUACUGGGCGUAAAGGGCGCGUAGGCGGUCAGCACAAGUCAGUUGUGAAAUCUCCGGGCUUAACUCGGAAAGGUCAACCGAUACUGCGGGGCUAGAGUGCAGAAGGGGCAACUGGAAUUCUCGGUGUAGCGGUGAAAUGCGUAGAUAUCGAGAGGAACACCUGCGGCGAAGGCGGGUUGCUGGGCUGACACGUGACGCUGAGGCGCGAAAGCUAGGGGAGCGAACGGG
rnacentral:rRNA from 1 species